UACGGAGGGUGCAAGCGUUGUCCGGAUUUAUUGGGUUUAAAGGGUGCGUAGGCGGCCCGUUAAGUCAGCGGUGAAAUCCCGGGGCUCAACCCCGGAACUGCCGUUGAUACUGGCGGGCUUGAGUUCGGUGAAGGCGGGCGGAACUGGCGGUGUAGCGGUGAUAUGCUUAGAUACCGCCAAGAACCCCGAUUGCGUAGGCAGCUCGCUGUGCCGAAACUGACGCUGAGGCACGAAAGCGUGGGGAGCGAACAGG
rnacentral:rRNA from 1 species